rfam:Neotoma lepida isolate 417 scaffold_1407, whole genome shotgun sequence.
CAGAUCCUGCGCUUAGGACUGAGAGGGGGCAGGGAGGACACGCUACAGCCAUUUUGGCCAUCUUCAGCUCGGGUGGGGCUGUAUUUGGAAUCUGUAACCAGAGGGGA